UACAGAGGGUGCAAGCGUUGUCCGGAUUUAUUGGGCGUAAAGAGUUCGUAGGCGGUUUGUUAAGUCUGGUGUUAAAGAUCAGGGCUCAACCCUGGGAUUGCCUUGGAUACUGGCAGACUGGAGUGCGGUAGAGGUAAGUGGAAUUUCUGGUGUAGCGGUGAAAUGCGUAGAUAUCAGAAAGAACACCGGUGGCGUAGGCGACUUACUGGGCCGUAACUGACGCUGAGGAACGAAAGCCAGGGGAGCGAAUGGG
rnacentral:rRNA from 1 species